ACGGCUCAGUAACACGUAGUCAACCUAACCUAUGGACGGGAAUAACCUCGGGAAACUGAGAAUAAUACCCGAUAGAACACUAUACCUGGAAUGGUUUGUGUUCCAAAUGAUUUAUCGCCAUAGGAUGGGACUGCGGCCUAUCAGUUUGUUGGUGAGGUAAUGGCCCACCAAGACUAUUACAGGUACGGGCUCUGGGAGGAGUAGCCCGGAGAUGGGUACUGAGACACGGACCCAGGCCCUAUGGGGCGCAGCAGGCGAGAAAACUUUGCAAUGUGCGAAAGCACGACAAGGUUAAUCCGAGUGAUUUGUGCUAAACGAAUCUUUUGUUAGUCCUAGAAACACUAACGAAUAAGGGGUGGGCAAGUUCUGGUGUCAGCCGCCGCGGUAAAACCAGCACCUCAAGUGGUCAGGAUGAUUAUUGGGCCUAAAGCAUCCGUAGCCGGCUCUGUAAGUUUUCGGUUAAAUCUGUACGCUUAACGUACAGGCUGCCGGGAAUACUGCAGAGCUAGGGAGUGGGAGAGGUAGACGGUACUCGGUAGGAAGUGGUAAAAUGCUUUGAUCUAUCGAUGACCACCUGUGGCGAAGGCGGUCUACCAGAACACGUCCGACGGUGAGGGAUGAGAGCUGGGGGAGCAAACCGGAUUAGAUACCCUGGUAGUCCCAGCUGUAAACUAUGCAAACUCAGUGAUGCAUUGGCUUGUGGCCAAUGCAGUGCUGCAGGGAAGCCGUUAAGUUUGCCGCCUGGGAAGUACGUACGCAAGUAUGAAAACUUAAAGGAAUUGGCGGGGGAGCAC
rnacentral:rRNA from 1 species